UUAAAACUUCUAAUCCCUAACCUCACGAGCCACAACCUCUAAACUCUCAAGCCACGAGUCACCACUCCACUCACGCACGACCUCGUCAGACCUCAAGCGAUCGGUUAGGCGAGCAUUCUUCACUGGUUCGGUGUUUCCAUCUAAUCAUCAUCGUCCCUCACAAUCACUCGUCAAGCAGUCGCAAGCAUUAGCGAGAGACCCAAAAUUGAUUAUGUCGAUAAUAGGGGAAAAUGAUGAUUUAAGGAAGAUAUCUUCCUCAGCUGGGUCAUCUAAGGAACCUGAAAAUGUGAUGAUGGAGACUUCAACAAAUACAAAAAAGAAAAGAAAAGGGAAAAAUACUGCUGAAGCUACAAGUGAAAAAAAGAAAAAAACCUCUGCUAUAUGGAUCAUUUUAAAGUAUGUGAGGGUGACAAAUCUCAUGUGCAAUGCCUUUAUUGUUCUCAAAAGAUAUCUUAUGCAUCUAAUAAUGGAACUAAUUCCAUGAAACGCCACAUUGAUCGGUGCAAGAAAGCUCCUUUUAAUGUUGAUACAAAACAAACAAUCUUAGAUUUUGAGUUUAAGACAAAGUGCAAUGCUGAUGGCCUAUUGAAACUGACAAACUUUUAGUGUUCCUAGAUUAUGGCAUUUUGAUCAAGAUGAGAUUAGAAAAGCACUUGUUAAAAUGGUGAUUGUUGAUGAGUUUCCAUUUAAUUUUGUUGGACGUGAAGGAUUUCGUCAUUUUUGUAAGAUUGCAAUUCUUAAUUUUGUUCCUCCCUCACGUGCUACUAUUACUAGAGAUUGCUAUGCUUUGUUUAUUGAGAAAAGGAAGAAUUUGAAAAAUCAUUUCAAGAAUUUGUCUUCUAGGUUAUGUCUUACAACAGAUACAUGGAUAUUUGGUCAAAAUUUUUCAUAUAUGUGUCUUACUGCCCAUUUCAUAGAUGAUGACUGAAAAUUGCAUAAAACGAUCAUAAACUUUUGUCCAAUUGUUAGUCAUUAUGGGGAGCUUAUUGGUAGAGUUAUUGAAAAGUGUUUACUAGAAUGGGGUCUUAAAAGAAUCAUGACUAUAAUAGUUGAUAAUGCUAGUUCUAAUGAUCUAGCAAUGAAGUAUUUGAAACAAAUUCUUAACUUGUGGGAUGGUAGUGUAUUGAAUGCUGAAUUUUUUUCAUAUGAGAUGUGUUGCACAUAUUUUGAAGUAAGAUGGGCUGAAAGAUGUUGAUGUUUUUGUUGUGAGAGUCUGUCUUGCUGUGAAAUAUGUGAGGUCUUCCCCUGCAAGGCUUCAAAAGAUUAAAGCUUGUGUUGAAGAGGAGAGUAUAAGUUCUAAGUCUCUUGUUUGUUUGAACAUUGAAACAAGAUGGAAUUCCACAAAUUCCAUGCUUAAGAGUGCCUUGGUGUUUAGGAAGGCGUUCAAAAAUAUGAAAACUAAGUACAUUCCUUGCACAAAGGAGCUUAGGAAGGUCAGUGGUGCUUCUAAUGAUGAAGAUUGGGAUAAAGUUGCAUCUCUCUUGCCGUUUCUUGAAAUAUUUUAUGAGACUACAUUGAGUUUUUCUAGAUCAAGCUAUGUGUCUGGUAAUACCUUUGUGGAAGAAAUAUAUGAUAUUGGGUAUACAAUUAACCGUUAUGUUGAUGACUUGAAUAACAGGCUUAAGAGUAUGGCACGCCAAAUGAAAUUGAAAUAUGAUAAAUAUUGGGCGAAUGUUAAUAAUGUGAAUGUGUUGAUGUUCAUUGCUUUAGUUUUUUAUCCUAGGCAUAAGUUGAGAUAUGUUGAAUAGAUCGUUCGUCGUUCUUAUGAUCCUAGUGACUCUUAUGUCUUGUGUUAACGGAUUAAAGAUACUUUAACAUCGUUGUUUGAUUAUUAUGCUUCUUUGCAUCCUUCUUCAACUCAAAUGAGAUCAUACUCUUUGGGUCCUAAUUCUAGUGGUCUUCAUGGUGGUGAGAGAGAAAUAAGGAAGUUGAAAGGAACAAAUUUGAGAAAAGAUUACGUGACAAAGGUAGAACUAAAUGACACUUCUGAAACAACAACCGAGCUGGACAAGUAUUUGGGGGAUAAAUAUGUUCGUGAUAAUGAUAAUUUUGAUAUCUUAGAUUGGUGGUCUGUGCAAACAAAUAGCUAUCCUAUUCUUAUGAGUGAGACGUGAUAUACUUGCCAUUCCGGUUUCUACCGUUGCUUCAGAGUCCGCAUUUAGCACGAGAGGGCAUGUUCUUGAUUCCUUAUGCACCUCUUUGACUCCUAGGUUGGUGGAUGCUCUUAUUUGUACUCAAGAUUGGAUACACACUUCUCAUGAACCCAUCAUGAUAGAGGAGAGCUUGCAAGCAUUAGAGAAUAUGGAAGAAGAAAUGAAAGAUUUGACUUUGGAGCAACCCACAAUUAUCAUUGAUGAGACGAGCAAAGUUUUGGAGCAAUGCAAUAUAUCUCUUUAGUUGCAUUUUCUUUAGACUUUUAACAUCUUAGGGUCUGUUUGUUUGGGGGGAAACAUUUUACGGAUAAUGUUUUCCUGUGUUUGGUUCAAGUAAAAGUACUUGGUCAAUGGAAAAAGUUUUACGUUCAACGUAAAAUAAGCUCCUAAAUCCCGUAAAACCACUUACCAUCUAAAAAAGGGAGGUCAUUUUACGAACCUAAUGCUUUCCCUUCAAAGCCUUUGACACCCAAAAUUCUCCGAUCAACUAUCACCAUCUUCUUCUCACCAGAAACGAUUACUCAGCCCAAAACAAAAGCAGCAGAUUUUGUACCAGCAAAAGCAGAGUGAGCAGUUUCACAUCCUAGUGCCCACGAUUCCAAGCAACUAAACUGAUUCAAAAGCCAAGGAAUUUACAAUCUUUCAUUGAUCAAAAAAAGAAACGAGGUUCAAUGUCGUUAAAUUUCGACACUCAAGAUAUCAAUGAGGAAAAAUCAAAAUUUUCUUCAUAUGGUACAUCAAAACGUAAAAGGAUGAAUGUUCAAGAGAAUGUCGAGGAUGAUCAUAUUCAAUUUAUAAGUGAGAAACUUGGUGAGAUUGCUGAAGCACUAAAAAAAUUUACAGAGGAUAAGACACCAUAUCUUUAUGAAGAAGUUAUGUCAAUGGAGAAAGAAGGAUUUGAUGACGACUUUCAUUGUGAGGUGUUCGAUUUUUUUAGCAAAAAAUGAGAUGGAGUCCAAAUCUUUCUUGGCAAAAAAAUCAAAACAUAGGAAAAUUUGGCUUCAAAAGUUUCCUCAAAGUUA